CCCUUAGAUGUUCUGGGCCGCACGCGCGCUACACUGAUGCAUUCAACGAGCCUAUCCUUGACCGACAGGUCCGGGUAAUCUUUGAAUCUGCAUCGUGACGGGGAUAGAUUAUUGCAAUUAUUAAUCUUCAACGAGGAAUGCCUAGUAGGCGCGAGUCAUCAACUCGCGUUGAUUACGUCCCUGCCCUUUGUACACACCGCCCGUCGCUACUACCGAUUGAAUGGCUUAGUGAGGCCUCAGGAUCCGCGCUUAAUGUGUGGAGAAUUUGGACAAACUACGUCAUUUAGAGGAAGUAAAAGUCGUAACA
rnacentral:rRNA from 1 species